rnacentral:rRNA from 1 species
AGUGAACGCUGGCGGCAGGCCUAACACAUGCAAGUCGAGCGGCUGAAGAGUACUUGCUUCUGGAUUCGGCUGCGGACUGGCGGGUAAGUCCUGGGAAUAUCGCUGGCUGUUUUUUCGAACGGGCUGAAGUGGGCGCUAUUACCGUAUACGCCCUUACGAAGAACGGGUGAAAGCUUCGGAUCUCAGGCUAUCACAUGAUCCUAGGUCGGAUUAGCUAGUUGGUGGGGUAAAGGCCUACCAAGGCGACGAUCCGUAACUGGUCUGAGAGGAUGAUCAGUCACACUGGAACUGAGACACGGUCCAGACUCCUACGGGAGGCAGCAGUGGGGAAUAUUGGACAAUGGGCGAAAGCCUGAUCCAGCCAUGCCGCGUGUGUGAAGAAGGUCUUCGGAUUGUAAAGCACUUUAAGUUGGGAGGAAGGGCAGUAAGUUAAUACCUCGCUGUUUUGACGGUACCAACAGAAUAAGCACCGGCUAACUUCGUG